GAGGUGGCAAGCGUUGUUCGGAAUUACUGGGCGUAAAGGGCGCGUAGGCGGUCUUGCAAGUCCCGUAUGAAAUCCCUCGGCUCAACUGAGGAACUGCACGGGAAACUGCUUGGCUUGAGUUCGGGAGAGGGAAGCGGAAUUCCGGGUGUAGCGGUGAAAUGCGUAGAUAUCCGGAGGAACACCGGUGGCGAAGGCGGCUUCCUGGACCGACACUGACGCUGAGGCGCGAAAGCUAGGGGAGCAAACGGGAUUAGAUACCCCGGUAGUCCUAGCUGUAAACGAUGAGUGCUGGGUGUAGAGGGUAUUAACCCCUUCUGUGCCGAAGCUAACGCAUUAAGCACUCCGCCUGGGGAGUACGGUCGCAAGGCUG
rnacentral:rRNA from 1 species